CUAGUAGGUGAUGGCGUUGCUCGUAUUCAUGGUCUUGAUGAAGUAAUGGUGGGUGAAUUAGUAGAAUUUGAAGAAGGUACAAUAUGUAUUGCUUUGAAUUUGGAAUCAAUAAUGUUGGCGUUGUAUUAAUGGGUGAUGGUUUAAUGUUACAAGAAGGAAGUUCUGUAAAAGCAACAGGAAGAACUGCUCAGAUACCAGUGAGCGAAGCCUAUUUAGGUUUUUCUCGCUCUAUCUCAGAGUAUCCAUUCACCUGAAACUAAUCUGCUUCCAUUUCCACUUUCCGUAAGCGAGCUCGGGCUUUUUUCAGCUGUUCAAUGGCCCCCCACGCAGUUCUUCUAAAUUUCGAAUAGUAUUUAAGAUCCUCCGUUUUCGAUUAUCUAAUAAAUCACUUAAUGAAAGUAGAUUAUCUUUCCAUUCAAUAUGGGACGCUUUAGUAUUUUUUUCCAUUCAUCCUCAUCCAAUCAAAAAAGACUUUUGGGGAGUUUGGUAAAUUCAUUUCUGGAAUCAUAAGAUAAACAUAUUUUUUUGAUCAAUUAUUUGAUAAUUAUUAGUAACAAUCUGAGUAUUUUGAUUAUUACUGGCAUCGAUCGUGAUCCAAGCCCCAAUAUCGACUUUUUGACUUUUGAAAAUAUCAA
rnacentral:lncRNA from 1 species